rnacentral:rRNA from 1 species
CGUGUCACGCAUAUCUGCAUAUCAAUAAGCGGAGGAAAAGAAACUAACAAGGAUUCCCUUAGUAACGGCGAGUGAAGCGGGAAGAGCUCAAAUUUGAAAUCUUCAAGGUUCUACCUUGACGAAUUGUAGUUUAAAGAAGUGUUUUCUGUUAGAUGAGUAGCAAAAGUUCCUUGGAAUGGGACAUCAUAGAGGGUGAGAAUCCCGUAUUUGGUUAUUCAUUCUAGCUUUGUGAUACACUUUCAAAGAGUCGGAUUGUUUGGGAAUGCAGUCCAAAAUGGGUGGUAAAUUUCAUCUAAAGCUAAAUAUUGGCGAGAGACCGAUAGCGAACAAGUACCGUGAGGGAAAGAUGAAGAGAACUUUGAAAAGAGAGUUAAACAGUACGUGAAAUUGUCAAAAGGGAAGCGUUUGACACCAGUGUUGUUUUUCCGAAAAUCAAUUACGAAUGGCUUGAUUUUGUGUUGUAUUGACCUUAUCAGCUUUCUGCACUUUUUUCAAGUCUUUCUUAAUGCACUUUUCGGUUAACAAGUCAACAUCAAUUUCUUUUGUUGUAAAAGAGUAUUCGGAAGGUGGCUUUCCUUUCGGAGAAAGUGUUUAUAGCCCUAUACUUCUACAAUCGGAGAGAUUGAGGUCUGCAGCGUAGAUCCUUCGGGGUUAGAUACACUUUGUGCUAAGUUGUAGCUUUUCAUAGACAACUUGUUGACUAUGUUUAGUCAUGCGGCUUACUCGCUUGUGCUAUUUUACCUACGCUUAGGAUGUUGACGAUCAGCUGAGCGCG